CUGAAAUAUUUAGCGAAAACAUAUAUAGGGGAUUCUUUUAUUUUUGGUGGGUAUCAAUUUUCGAGGAUUAAAGAAAUCUUAUAUUUUCUAGGAUAUUUGAUAUCGUGGUUUUGUCAAAGUCUGUAUUAUACCUGAUGGCAAAUUUGUCAUUCAUUGGUUCACCUGUCUCACUGAAAACCACGAAAAUUGGUAUCCCACAAAUAAUAAUGAAUCCAUAGUUGUAUACAGUCUAGUCCAAAAUAUUGUAUUAAGAAAAAUUUCAUUGAAAAUAUUUUACAUAAAUGUCUUAAGGGUGCAUUUAUUCAUUGAACAGAAAGG
rnacentral:lncRNA from 1 species